rnacentral:rRNA from 1 species
AACGAACGCUGGCGGCAUGCCUAACACAUGCAAGUCGAACGAUAACUGCGGGUCUAUUGGCGCACGGGUGCGUAACGCCGGGGGAGUUACCCUUAGGUUCGGAAUAACCUCCUGGAGGGGGUGCUAAAAUGGGAUAAGUUGUUCGUACCAAAUAAUUUUCGCCGUGGGAUGGGCGGGCGUUUGGUUAGCUUGUUGGUAGGGUAAGAGCCGACGAAGGCGACGAUGCAUAGCGGGUCUGAGAGGAUGAGCAGACACACCGGGACUGAGACGCGGCGCAGAAUAUUGCGGGAGGGAGCAGUGGGGAAUAUUGGACUGCGGGCGAAAGGAUGAUGGAGCAAUGGCGCGAGAGUGAUGAAGGCCUUAGGGUUGUAAGGCUCUUUUAACCGGGAUGAUAAUGACGGUACCGGGAGAAUAAGCUCCGGCUAACUCCGUG